rnacentral:lncRNA from 1 species
UGCAAACAUAGCUCACUAGGUGGCAGUGUUUUGCUGGUAACUGUUUUGAACGACGCACAUUUGGUACUAAGGAGCCCAGUUGGGUGCCCAGAAAAAUUUCUUUCACACAUUACACCACCAGCAGCCUGAAACGUUUAUACAAGCAGGUGGGUGACAGCACCAUAAGGAGUCUGUGUUCCUGCACAAAGAUUAGGUAAUCAAGGACUCGAGGGCAGCUGUUGGUUUGGAGAUGAGUGAUAAACAUAUGGCUUUGCUGUCAAUAUCAGGCAUGAUGAAUGGCCUACUCAAGGUGUUGUUUUGAGGGAGCAGGCUGUUCCUCCUGGUCAGGCCUGGAUCUCUGUCAUCUCAGCGAAGGCCCAAACACGUGCAGCGGCUGACAAGUGUUCCACCUCUGCAUAAGGACAUCCAGCCCUCAUUCCUCUCCCAACACGAGCCCACGGCUGACUUAAUUGAAGUGGGCAGUGUGAGGACCGAAGUCAACACACACACACUCGCAUUCAUGGAGGUCCGUGGAAUGAGUCGACUAAUGGAAGACCAGCUGGCUGGAUUCUUCAUGAAAUAGGGGUACAUGUCAGGAGGAGAGAAAAGAUCACUGCAGGCUGGCGGAGCUCCCUUCAUCUUUCAGACCACACGUCUACGAGCUCUGGCUGUUCCUCAUGGAUCCCUUCUGCCUUGAUAUCCACAUGGGGUUGAAGUGAAACCACCAUCAUCAGCGGUUUGACCACUCUUUUGCAAUAAAAGAAUUAGUUUUCUCCAGCAUUCCUGUUGACCUAUGAAAACUCUGGGCACAUCCAAACCACCCAGCUGACUGCACACUUGUUGAAAGCCCACGCAGUUCGCAAAAAGCAUAAUGAAGACAGGAAGAAAAAGUUAGCGACUCUCGAGGAAAAGGAAAAUAAAUAUUGCUGCUUCAAGCGAGAUUUUAUCUGCUGAGAUGGUUGAUACGCUUGUCAUGAACUUGCACGAGGAAAGAGGAAAAAAGGGCUGAUUUGGUAAGAUGGAGCCGUGGUUCUGCUGAGGGCAUGUCAUCUGUGCUUCCAAGAAAGGAACAGAUAAAAGGCAUCAGUCAACAAACUCCCAUUUAACACUA